rnacentral:lncRNA from 1 species
CUUCUCCUUACAGUACGCCUAUCUAGGGUUUUAGCUUUCGCUUCUUCCUUCUCCCCAUCUCUUUUAUUCUUCAUAUAAACUCCUAAGAUGAGCAACAACAAAGAUAACCUCAGCAUGGCCGAUCUCAGCGCCGGUAAUCUCUUCUCUCUAAAACCCUAACUCUUGUCUUUUUUUUUUUCGAUUUCUAUAGUCGCAAGUUAUUUUGCGUUCGUGUCUGUUAUUUUUGUAGUUAUUAACGAGGAGGAUCGAGCAGGCCUUGUUAGCGCGCUCAAGGUUAGUAUCUUACUCUAUUCUCUACUUGGUGACCGAGAAAAUUAAACCAGGCGAAUUUUCCCACUUUUGUUGUUCAAUUUAAGUUAAUAAUGCAAGUUAAAUUUCGAGACUAGGAUUUUAUUCGCUGAUAGAUUGGGGUAACUUUUGUUUGAGCAGAGUAAACUACAUUCUCUGGCUGGUCAGCACACUGAUGUGCUUGAGAAAUUGUCUCCAAACGUGAGAAAGCGCGUUGAGUUUCUAAGAGAGAUCCAGGCAUGUCUUUAUUAGAUUAAUUUUAUUUUCCUUUGCUGUUACUUCUAUUUUUAUGGCAUCUACUUUGUUUAUCUAUGUCUUGCUGCACAUAUGUGGAUAUAGUUGGUAGCCUUGCUACAUUGGUUGAAUGUCUUUUAUGCGCUAUUGCAAGUUUGAGUUGUGCAUGAUUCUCUCACGAGUAUAUAUCGAUGUCGGAGGGUUCACAUGAGUUAACAAUUUUGUGGAAGACAAUGAAAUGGUUAUAUAGUUGCUGUGCAUUUGAUCUACAUGACAAUAUGUGUUCCAAUGGAUCAGUUUCAACACCAAAGAUGUGCAUGCAUAGAAUUGAAAACACAAAUGAAAUCACUUAAUUAUGCUUGCUGAACAAAGGACACCCUUGGGGAUCAUUGGAACUAUCCACUCUUGCAACAUAUUAAUGAUUGAGCGUGUUGGUUCCUCCUAAAUAUGGACUGAUGAGUGUUCUUGGAUUUUCUGUCUUCUUAAUAUAUUUAGAGGAUGCUAAUUAUAGUCUUUCUGCUGGAGCUGGCUUCUUGGCAGUUAUGCAUGCAGUAUGAUCCACUGGCCUUUGGCAGUUGAAACCCUUGUUUUUAUAUAUGCAUUCCAAUUCUGUUGGAACUCUUUAUCCUUCAUCCUGGUGUUUGCGUUUCUACUGUCUUUUCAAAACGUAUUAGUAGCUUUGGAAGGUUGGAUAUUGAGGCAAAGCAUGCAGUGGUAUCGAGUGCAUGAUUAGUUUCAGAUGAAUUGGCACUAGACCCAGCGAAGGUCCUGUCCAGAGCUGGAACUGGAGUGCAAUUGGUAAAAAACUGGAUUGAUCAAAACUGGGCUACGAUCGGUCAGUUUGGACCAAAACUGGACUUUUUUCCUUAACAAAAUUUAAAAAAAAAGGGGAAAAUUUUUCCACCAUUGUAGUUGCUCAAACUGGCCAGGGGGGACCCUGCAUGUUUUAUCCCUUUGAAUAGAACCACUGGUUCUGAGCCGGUCCUGGUCUGCUUUAGCCCGUUGGUUAUUUCUAUAGCUGGCAAGAGUUUAGAAACAUGGUGAUUAGCUUUGAAGGCUUAUUGGCUCUUAGAUUUUUAUGGAAAUAUUAGACUUGUACUUCUGGUUGCUUAUUUGCAAAGUUAAGGAAUUUUGUUUUAGCUAUGGUUAUUCCCCCUCUUUUUGUGCAUGUUGCAUGUCUCCAUUUCAUUUACUCUUUAAUUGCAUUUUACUCUCAUUCUUGCAUGAACACUUACAAAAAAAACAUUUGUUCAAAUAUAUAAGGAUUUCUUGAUAUGCAGAGCCAACAUGAUGAAUUAGAGGCAAAAUUCUUUGAGGAGAGAGCAGCACUUGAAGCAAAAUAUCAAAAACUCUACCAACCCUUAUAUACCAAGGUAUCAUUCUGAUCAUUAUUCUUGAGUUAUGAAAACCUAUCUGUUUAUUAACUGAACACAAGGACUCCUGCUGUCCUGCAUACCUUUUUUACUUUAUAUGGUGAAAUAUGGAGAAAGCUUUGAGGGUAGUACUGCUGUAUAUCAACUUUUUCUUCAUGUGGCAUCUUUCAUCGUCUCAUCCUCCAUUUAGCAUGAUCUUUUUUUGCAGUAUAUAAUAAUUCCUUUGGCUGUGCCUUUUAUUUUGUUUCCAUGCCCUGUAAUGUUACUUGCAGAGAUAUGAGAUUGUGAAUGGCACUGUUGAAAUUGAUGGAGCAACAAACGAAGCAGCAAUGGACCAAGAGGGGGAUCAAGCUGCUGAAGGUACCUUCUAAUCAUUAUCCAAUUAUUAACCCCCCCCAACACUGCUUCAUUUGGCAAUUUUCCUUAGGUUAAUAUUUGAAUUUGUUUGAUACAGACAAGGGUGUGCCUGAUUUUUGGCUCAUUGCAAUGAAGAACAAUGAUGUGUUGGCUGAGGAGGUUUGUUAUUGAAUUGUCAUGUUUUGCUGCUCUACUUGUUAUGUGGUUAGAUUGUUUUUAUUCAUGGAUUGUAAUUGUUUCCCUAUAUUUUUUAUUAGAUAACUGAACGUGAUGAAGGAGCUCUCAAGUACCUUAAGGAUAUUAAAUGGUGUAGAAUAGAUGAUCCCAAGGGAUUCAAGCUCGAGUUCUUCUUUGAUCCCAACCCUCAUUUCAAGAACACUGUUUUGACAAAGACAUAUCACAUGAUUGAUGAAGAUGAGCCCAUUCUUGAGAAAGCAAUUGGGUAACUGUUGUUUAUUUUGAUAUUAGCUACUUCUGCAAUUAGAUCUUCAAGAAAGCAUAUCAGUUUCUAGUUAAUCUCAUAAGUGAAAUCUGGUUGGUAACUGGUUAUUUUUAGGACGGAGAUUGAAUGGUAUCCAGGAAAAUGUUUAACACAGAAACUUCUUAAGAAGAAGCCUAAAAAGGGAUCAAAGAAUGCCAAGCCAAUCACUAAAACUGAGGAUUGUGAAAGUUUCUUCAACUUCUUUAAUCCGCCUCAAGUGCCUGAAGAUGAUGAAGAUAUUGAUGAAGAUACAGUAUGACGAUGUCAUUACAUUGUAUUAAUGAAAUGACAAUUUUAUUGCAUAUUGCAUGUAUUAACUUUUCCCUAUGUUCUUGACUAGGCUGAGGAGCUUCAGAAUCAAAUGGAACAAGAUUAUGACAUUGGGUGAGUUCUUUAUAAUCUACUCUUUUGUUAUGGAUGGAUUUCACUAAGUGUAAAUCCUGGUGGUAAUGCUCCUGGGAAGUAAUAGUAAUAUAGUGGAAUUCUAAAUCAAACUCUUGCUUUUUUCUCUCCUUGCAUCCUUGUUUCCGCAUGUAAUAACUUUUUUUGUUUACUAUUGAAAUUUUUAUUCAGGUCAACCAUUCGAGACAAGAUUAUCCCUCAUGCUGUAUCUUGGUUUACGGGUGAGGCAAUGGAGGGAGAUGAGCUUGGAAUGGAAGACGAUGACGAGGAUGAAGAUAUUGAUGAAGAGGAUGAUGAAGACGAUGAAGAAGAAGAGGAUGAGGAGGAUGAAGAGGAAAGCAAAACCAAAAAGGUCUGACAGUAUUUUAUUGCUGCCCUGUUGUUUUUCCUACUUUUUCUCUUUUGGGUUUUUAAUUUGAUGUGCUAAUCAUUGUUUUUGUCAAUUGGGU